GUUUCUCAUUUUUUGUUCCCUGUCCUCAAGUCUUAGAGGCAAAAGAAAUAUCCAAGAUUUGAAAUUUCUUUUCUUCUUUUCAUCUGCAUGGCUGUAGCCAUCUCUUUGUUCUGCAUUAUCUUAUGACAAAAAAAAAAAUUCUUAUUUUGAAGCAAACUCAAAGCUAGGUCCUGAUGUCUCAAGGCACAGGUACUUGUACUUAAAGGUGAGUCUGAAAUCUGUGGAUUUGGGGAACUUUGGAAAAACAAAGAUGAGUGGCUAGAUCAGGGGGCUCAUUGGGCAGGAAGAGGAGACUGGAAAAUGCCAUAUUCACUGCAAGUCAAUUAUCAACUUCCUCCAAGGCUAAAAUAGCUGAACCUGCUGCAUUUUAAACCAAUCCUCAGCCACUUUUGUGUUUUCUCAAGGAUUUCCAGGGAUCCCAGGCAGUAAAUCCUGCUGAUAAUAGGAAUUGGUGUGAUAAGGUGGGUGCUGAGCAGUUUAAGCACCAAGAUUGUAGCUCUGUCUGGUUUUGUGGAGAUUUACUCAACUAGAAGAACAGAGAUUUGGCUGGUUUUUCAGUCCUGGGGUACAGGGUUCAGCUGUACUGGAAAAUUUAGGACCUGGUUUCAUUCUUUGAGUCUCAUGUUCAAGUUGGUUUUAAUGUUAUGAAGACACUUGGGACGUAAUCCUGAGGGCAGCUGGGGGGAAGAAAGUGGUCACUGGAUGGACUUACCCUGUAGCGAGCCCAUGCAUGGUUUGUUCUCUGAUCGUGCAUGUGCUUGGCUAUAGACCCAUGUAACCGUGGUGAAGGCCACGGGGGGAUUCAGUUGGCAAAGGCAUAGUGGGCAGAAGAAUCUUGAACAAGGAGUCCAGAGCAGGUCAAGUCUCCUGAUACAGGUUGUGACUCAUGGUUUUUUGUCUCUGCCUGUAGCAGCUACAGGUCUGUAAAGCAAGGGGAGAGUGAUAAGGAAAGAACUCACCUUUCUGGGGCUCUCUGACAUUAAUGCCACCUCCCAUUUGCUUUUUGCAGACACUGUCAUCUCUCAAGUACCCAUCUUGGAGGGUACGGACCCCACAUGAUGGUGAGGCUCUCUGCACACUCCAGAGUGAGGACCUUAAUAAUCUAGUGGACUGUACAUGUUGGGAGGGGAAGAGCGGGGUGCCGAGGGUCUGGAGGGAGAAGAAUUGACUGCCCCUUUUGCUCUUGGAGUUAAGCAGAAAUCUAAAGAGAAGGCAAAGAAUCUUGCCUUCCUGGCAUCAUUUCCUCCUACCAUCCCGGCCAUCAUUUAUUUAUUACAGCCAACAGACUGGCCUCUUUCUUCCCUUUAACUGGGAAUGGGUCAAAGGCGGUGCAGGAGGAGGAUCUGGUCCAGAUAAUUCACAAGCAGGGUGCAUUUUCCUCUCAUUAUUGAGAACUGUGAGUGUUUAUCAAGAAGGCAGAGCGGGAGAAUAUGAACCAGUCUUCUUCCCCUCACUACCCAGAUCUCUGCCUGCCAACAAGCCCCGUGUUCACCCUGGCAAAGAGUCUUUACAUUCAGACCAAGGAGAGUGUGACUCCUUCUCAGCACUAGCUAGAAACCUCAAGGCCUUGCUUAAGGGCCUCUUUCAGAGAGACCCAAUGCCCAGAAGGCUAGAUGCAUGGGGAGGAGCCACAUACGAGAAACUGCCUCCCUGCUUCGGGUCAGAACAAGCCCCAGGAAGAAAGUAUUUCAAACAACAAGGUGCAUCUGCCCCAACCCAUCCAGCCUGCAUGUUGGUGCUGAGAACAGCCUUUUAUGGGGCUUGCAGUGAGCCAUGGGCAUGUCUGAACACAACAAGGAAGAGGCCAGAGCAGCAACAGCACGCAAAGGGUUGAUGGGCAUUUCUUUUAAGAGAAGGCAGAAAACUCUUAGAUACUUUGCGUCCUUCCUAUUUGACUCAGUCUAUGAAAGCCAGGUUAGCUUUCUUUCUUCCUCCCUAAAUCCUCCAUCCUCAUGCCCAACAAAGAAAUAGUUGAAUCAUUUUCCAGGCACAUGUGGGGGAGGAUGUGGGGCCACUGGAAGCUGUCCUUCCUAGAUAAGUCUUUAGGAGUGAGAACAAGGAGUCUUACCCUCCUCUGUCCACCCACCUCCUUGAAUGGGCCUGGCUCCAGCCGGGAGUUGUGGUUUUUCCUGAGCUCCUCACCUAUCUCUUCUGGAUUUCACAUUGGCAAACGGGGCUGCAAAGUGCUCUUCGUGCUCUUUGGACAGUGCCUUGUGGAGAGGAAUGCCCAUGCCCCUGCAUUCCAAGACCUUGGUAAGCAAGCUCAGAGUAGCUGGAUUUUUCUAAAGCAAUUGCAGAACACCUGCUUUUUCUUUGUUUCCUCUAGAAAGGACCAACCACACCGAGAUCAGUUAUGGCACACACAGUGGGACCUAGACAAAGGGAGAGGGUGACCGGCAUCCCAACUAGCAGGUGCAAGGACGUGUUGAACUAGCUCUCUGCAGCCUCCUUGGAGGAUGUGAUCCUAUGGGAGGGGUAGGAGUAUUCAGGUCCUCGACAUCUCCCAAAUGUGUGAUUCCGGGAUGCCAAAGGCCUUUGGCCAGAUUUCAGUGGAGUGAAGUUCAGGAGGCAUGGAGCUGACAACCAUGAGGCCUCGGCAGCCACCGCCGCCGCCACCGCCGUAGCAGCAGCAGCAGCAGCAAG